CUUAUCUAUGCAGUUCACACUGAAUGAAUGAUGUCUGUGCACUGCUUUCCAUGCCUUUCAAAGUGGUCUUCACUGUGGGCUGUUGCAUAACCCCUAACAGGGCCCCUUUGCUAUUUUUGUUCCUGGAUACACGUCUCAGUGAGGUAUUUUCUGUGGUGACUCGCUUACAUCAGUAGGUCUGAUAGUGUACCCUCAAUACACACGAUGUGGAUCAUUGAUGGGGCUUAUCUUUGGCUUAUUAGGCUUUAAAUCUGUUUUCUUUGAGGGUUACAUACUGGAAUAUGGAAAAUGGGAAUUGUAAAGGGAGCUGGAAAUGACUGGAGAUACUGGACAAGGCUGUAUUUGAACACCAGAGGGAGACCCAAGAAUGAGAUCAGAGUGACCUUGAGAGGAGCGCUGGAGAAUCCUAUCACCUCUAGAGACCCCUCUAUACCACCUCCACCUCUUUGUAUAAAGUGAAUUUUGACAGUGGCAAUGUUUCAAAGUAAACUGAAGUAUGUGGUUCAGGUUUCUUUUCUGACAUAAUGAUGUGAAGUCUUCUGAUGUCCUAAUUAACACAAGCUAAGAGGUCUGCACCAGAUAAUCUUAUAUAACCUCAUUAAAGUCACAUUGUUCGAUGUGAAGAUAUGAACUACUCCUGGUUGUCUUUCCUGAUGCUGUUAUUGGUGUUUUAUAUUUUACAAAAAUGAUACAUUAAUAGCAGUGUUUGUUUACUGUUAUGCUAAUUAAGUGAAAGCUUAUUUAACUCUCAUCAAAUAGCCCUACUACCUGUCAGCUGUACCCCAUGGCAGUCAUGUCAGCUGUCUAGAAUCAGUAGGUUAUAUGUAGGUUAUAAAAUAUGUGGGUUAUAAAAGUAAAAAAGUAACCACCUUAGGAAAUGUGGAAUGUGUUUAUACUGAAAUAUAUUUUCAAAUCAGAAAGUUAGGCUGCUCCUUUCCACAGAUAUGUGACAUAUACAUUACAAGCUUGCUAUAAAAGUGGCCAUUUGCACUAUAAAUAGUCAUAGGCAAACAUGAAAAGGGAUGCAGCUGUUAGAUAGUGCUUAAUCACCUUGGCAUCAUACAAACUCUGUUUAGAAAUUUAUUUGUUAAUAUAUAAUAUUGAAUUAAUUUGUCUUCUUCUUCUUCAACUUCUUCUUCUUAUUCUCUUCCU
ensembl:lncRNA